UGACGUGUAAGACAUCAUGGCAUUGUGGCAGAUGUUUGUGUGGAGAGUUGGAAUCUGUGAAGCAUGUAGUAAUGGAGUGUGAAAUUCAUCGUGAUACAAGAAACCACAUGUUUUCUGAUCUGUUGGAGUCUGGAUUCUCAUCUAUAUCUUUGAAAUCAAUUCUUGAAAAUAAGGAUUAUGAAACAACAAAGACUGUUAUAAACUUGUUACUCCACACUGGGCUUUAUUUGAGGAUUUAAUAUAUAAGAUGGAGUUCUUCAGAUGAUCUGAGGAGGGCAGCAAUACGCCUUUGAAGCGUCUAAGAUGCCACAAAUUACACAAGAAGAAGAAGAAGAGGAAGAAGUCAUGGCAUUGUGUACUAUGUCGCGGAAGUUAAUGCUUUUUGGACGUACCUAGAAUGCAUACGACUGUCGCGCCAAAAGCUCAUUAUUUUACAUUAUAAAGUUUUAAAUAAGGAUAGUUGUCUUACACAUAUGCAUCGAUUCGCUUCAGAAAGCCUUUAUUAACCCUCUGGAGUCGUAAAGUUUAAUUUUUUUAUGGAUGGAUGCUUUUUUUUUUUUUGGUCUUCAAAAUUUGGGCAGCCAGGAUAUUUUUAAACAUAUCUUCGAUUGUGUUCGUCUGAAAGAAGAUAGUCAUAUACACCUAGGAUGACUUAAGGGUUGAUUUUCUCUGGUGGGGGAGCAGAUAGGAAGCUGAAAUCAUCACAGAUAUUAGUCCUGUAUGGCAGCAUCUGCUGUAAAAAUGAUGAGAUUGAGAUUCUGCUGGUUAAAGAGCAAGAAGAAAUCUGGAAAAAGUCUACUUUAUUUGUGUGUUUUGGGAAAUAAACAGAAAUAUAAGCAUAACAAUUAUACAAAUUAACAGAAUUUUACAGCAAUUAUGUUUAUAAUUGACAUAAAAUUGUUCAUUCACUUUGACCACAGACUUUGCUCAGGCAUUUCAACCAAAACAGCAUUUCAGAUGCUGUGGAAAAAGAUCAGUCCGCUGGUUGCUCCAGUUAUGCCGUCCCAUCGCGACAAGUUAUAAUAUUUUUGAUGCGCAUAAAGGAAUUUAUUCUAGUUUAUGCGCAUGUUUUGUUACCAGAUAAAAAAAAAUUCAGACUCAAACGAGCGCAUAAGUUUUUUAGGCGCAUGUUUACAAUUUAUGCGCAUCUUGGUGUUUCCAUCCAGAAGUUUUUUUUAUGCGAUAUCCCAAAAUGCACAUAAAAAUAGGUGGAUGGAAACAUAGCUUAUAAAACAGCUUUUCAUCCAGAGGACAGGUGUCCACUAUAGUGGGCCUCAGCAAACGUCCAAAGGGACCUAAUAACUAAAACUUGUUGUGGUUCAUGACACAAAUAACAUUGCUGUGGUUAAACCAAGUAAAUACAAAUAAAAACUGGUUCCGCAAUACCAACUGUUGUAUUAUAUCAAAGAAAUGCAAUUACCCUGCCUCCUUAUUUAGAUUUUAGAUGCCUGUUGCUACACAUUUGGCCAAUGUAUUAAACAUUAGGCAUCGCUUACAAUAUUACUGUUAUUUAUUUUUGUUUGUUUCUAAGAAAUACCUUUUACUAUGUGGGUAGAGAUGUACAGUUAUUGUUAGUUAUGUGUGUGUGCCUGUCCAUGAGAAGCAGCAAAACUGGACUGCAGUUCUGUGUGUGUGUGUGUGUGUGUGUGUGUGUGUGUGUGUGUGUGUGUGUGUGUGUGUGUGUGUGUGUGUGUGUGUGUG